rnacentral:pre_miRNA from 11 species
GUCUUCCCCAGGGAAGAACAUAAUGAAAGACCCCCAGAGAGCGGAGACCCUCACUCAAGUCUCAGGAUGACGCAACCCCCCAAGAACUCAUGAGAGACC